UAGUUGUCAGCCAGAGUGAAGCCUUGUGAUGUAACUGUUGAGGCCUUUAGAAGCUGUUCCACCCCCAUGGAGACCUGCCAAACAGUGUCUCCGCUGGAGCCAGCGAGUACAGGAGCUGUUUACAGACAUGAACUCCUAUGACUCCGGAUCUGCAAUUGGUACAAGCCAGUUGUGUAAUGCUGGGCUUUCCAGAGUGGCAUAAUAUUGGAUCUACAUGAAUUGUGCAACAAAACCAGACAAUAAAAAGGGAUCACACUUCUGAGGAAUCUAAACUCAGGAGACAACUCACCAGUGAAAACAUGAAGUCUGUGAUCCUUGCACUUUUGGUGGUGUUGGUGGUCGGCCACAGUGACGCCUUGAGGUGUAACUGUGGAGGUAAGACUCAGUGUUCAAGCAGAAUUCAGACCUGCUCUGGUUCAGGCCAAGUCUGUAUCAGCUUCAGGUUUAACCCCCCUGCUACCGGAUACUUCCAGAGUUGCUAUCGAGCAACUGAUUGUCAAAGGUUGAUUAGUGCAGGGAUAGGAACCGGGCGCUGCUGCAGCUCUGACCUGUGCAACUAAAGAAUGAACAUUGUGCAACACAUCUUCCAGUGAAUAAACAAUCCAUUGUAAUGUAUUGUUUGCUGCAUUGUCCUAAUAAAGAUCAUUCAGUUGCUACUCUUGUCUUUUUUCACUUUUCAUAUUUCUCUUGUGUUUAUUAUGGGUUUGGCGUUUGUUGCCUGCAUUGUGUUCUUGUGACAAAGAAGUUAUGCAACAUAGCUUUUUUUGAGGAGAAAAAAUAAAGGGCUUAUGUUACAGUGAUUGGGAUAUUUUAAGAGAUGAAACUUUUAUUUUGAAAAGAAUAAUAAUCACAGAAGACAUGGACACAGUUCAAAUCCACACCAAAGUCCCAUCAACACAUCACGGUUAUAUUAGAGCGCCAUCUUGUGUCAGAUUUUUUUGAUCAAGCUCCAUUAAUUAUUCUGAUAUCAAGGAAAAUGUGGAAAAUUUGAAAAUAGGUGAAAACAUUUCCAGGAUCCUGCCCCUGACACAGAUCCAAACCAGAAUGUAACUGGAUCUUCCUUGUGUCAUGGUCAGGCCCCACCCCUUCACCAAAUGUCUUGGAAACUAGUUUCGUAGGUUUUGCGUAAUCCUGAAAACAAUCAAACAAGGAAACACGGACAACAACAAGUCUUUGUCUACUUGUAUUAAGGGAAAGUUGUUACAAAAUAAAAGAGGAAAUAACUAAAAAGGGUGUUGCACAGAGUUGCAGAUGGUCACAAUACACAGAUCUAAUCAGGUCGUUCUGAAUGAGGAUUUUAUUUAUGAUCCUCCUGAGGUCGACCCACAUUCAUAACAACCUGAAUGGUCCAAUAGUGUCAGCGCUUCUGAACUCAAAGUGAAAUAUGGAGAGGAAGUAAUGAGUCACAUAAAGUAACAUAUGAUUAAGUAGGAUUCCAGUGCAUGGCAUUGCUUCAGGUCCCGCUCCCACACCCGGAAGGAAGGAGGAAUUUGGGUUUGUUUACAUGGAAAACAUUUGAGUUCAUGCCUGGCAAAAUUACAUCAUGAGCUAUUUAUGAUACAUAUAUCUGCCAGAUUGCAAAGUCGGAUAAAAAAAGAAUGGGUAGAGGAUUUUGAGUUUUACUUGUAUCAUGAAAUAGCUUUAAUUUAUUUUAGACAAUAACGUCUAAACAAAUCUAAAUACAGACUUUUUAUUGGUUAGGGUCAAAACAAUGUUUUUGCUUCAAACAGCGACUGAAGUUUCCUUUGGUUAAAAUUCCCAAAUUCCUGUUUUUAAGUAUCUCAGGCUGAACUUGGAGGUUUUUGAAGUUAUUCUUUUCAUGUUUCAAUUUUCUAUUGCUCUGUUAAAUUUUCUGGAUUCUGGAAAUCUUAAAAAGGUCAACUAUGAAACUUUUCUGAUGUUUGAAGGUGUUUUUUUUGAUAUGUUGUUGAUAACAAUGAGGUCAAAUUAAAUAAACCACAGCCCGUUGGUUUCAUCCCAGAACGAUGUCCCUCAAAAUGAUAGUGUUGCAAAUUUCCCUGGUUGAAAGUGUUAAAGUGCAGCUGAGGACAGGGUGCUCCGUCUCAAACUGUCCCCUGGGAAUCACCAGCAGUGCUCCACCUGUUUUUAUUUUUGAUCAUUGUUAUCACAUAUUAGCCAGUUGUGUAAUACUUAGCUUUCCAGAGUCGUACAAAAUAUGGGAUUUUUCCCAUGAAUUGUGCAACGAAACCAGACAAUAAAAAGGGAUCCUGCCAACAGAGAGCACACAUCUGAGGAAUCUAAACUUAGGAGAAAACUCACCAGUGAAAACAUGAAGUCUGUGAUCCUCGCUCUUUUGGUGGUGUUGGUGGUCGGCCACAGUGACGCCUUGAGGUGUUACUGUGGAGGUAAGACUCAGUGUUCAAGCAGAAUUCAGACCUGCUCUGGUUCAGGCCAAGUCUGUAUCAGCUUCAGGUAUAACCCCCCUGUUACCGGAUACUUCCAGAGUUGCUAUCGAGCAACUGAUUGUCAAAGGUUGAUAAGUGCAGGGGUAGGAACCGGGCGCUGCUGCAGCUCUGACCUGUGCAACUAAAGAAUGAACAUUGUGCAACACAUCUUCCAGUGAAUAAACAAUCCAUUGUAAUGUAUUGUUUGCUGCAUUGUCCUAAUAAAGAUCAUUCAGUUGCUA